CGGGGUGUAGCGCAGUUUGGUCAGCGCAUCCGCCUUGGGCGCGGAGGGUCGGAGGUUCGAAUCCUCUCACCCCGACCA
rnacentral:tRNA from 1 species